AGAUCAAGGUAUGAAGGGCGUACGGUGGAUGCCUUGGCACUAGGAGCCGAUGAAGGACGCGACGAACAGCGAUAUGCUUCGGGG
rnacentral:rRNA from 1 species